rnacentral:rRNA from 1 species
AUACAGAGGGUGCGAGCGUUGUUCGGAAUAACUGGGCGUAAAGCGCACGUAGGCGGAAUGUUAAGUUAGAGGUGAAAUCCCAGGGCUCAACCCUGGAACGGCCUUUAAUACUGGCAAUCUAGAGACCGAGAGAGGUGAGUGGAAUUCCGAGUGUAGAGGUGAAAUUCGUAGAUAUUCGGAGGAACACCAGUGGCGAAGGCGGCUCACUGGCUCGGUACUGACGCUGAGGUGCGAAAGCGUGGGGAGCAAACAGGAUUAGAAACCCCAGUAGUCC